UAGCCUUGACAUAUUAUAGAAUUCAGUAGAGAUACAGAAGUGCCUUCGGGAGCUAUAUUACAGGUGCUGCACGGCUGUCGUCAGCUCGUGUCGUGAGAUGUUGGGUUAAGUCCCGCAACGAGCGCAACCCUCGUCACUAGUUACUAACGGUUAGGCCGAGGACUCUAGUGAGACUGCCUUCGUAAGGAGGAGGAAGGUGAGGACGACGUCAAGUCAUCAUGGCCCUUACGGCUAGGGCAACACACGUGCUACAAUGGUUAGGACAAUGAGAAGCAAUAUCGCGAGGUGGAGCAAAUCUAUAAACCUAAUCUCAGUUCGGAUUGUAGUCUGCAACUCGACUACAUGAAGCUGGAAUCACUAGUAAUCGUAGAUCAGCUAUGCUACGGUGAAUACGUUAACCGGGUCU
rnacentral:rRNA from 1 species